UGAAGGGGGGCGCCUUUGAAGUGCGUCAGCAUCUGUGAAGUGAACACCCACCCAAUUAGCACCCGCGGCUAACGAGCUACGUAGGGCGUCCCGGCUUUGAUGUGGCCCAGGUGACAAAAAGCACUUGCAGCCGGGGGGGGGGGGGGGGCGCAGGCGACCUCCUCUAAGAGCAUCCGAAAGAACCGUCGGAUUGACUCAUCUUUCUCCAGUAACAUUAGAAAAUAACUUAAAGAGGAAAUUGAAUACAGAAUUGAGCCGGCGGCUCACAUGUUUUUCCCGCCCACAUGGCAAUGUAGCUAGUGGAACUACUGGAAUAAAAGGCCUUUUGGUAGGUCUGAUUAUUGGGACAUUUGACUGCUGUUCAGAACCUGUGGUCGUCCUCUGGUGACGUCACAGGCUGUGGGCGUGGCCGUAACAGCCGCAGGGUCAGCUGACUCCCGACACGCAAAGAGAAGUGUGAAGCUGACACACGUUGUCCUGCACUUUGUCACGUGACCCCGACUUGUCUCGUGUCUGAGACGCGCCGUCUGCUCAGGGAGGCUGCGGCGCGGCGCCGUCAUUUUCCUUCACUUUCUUUCUUCAUCUUCUUCUUCUUCAUUUACCUCUCGGGAGGAAAAGGCUGCCGUGUCCCAGUCGUCGUGCCCCGCUUAUCAACGAGCUGCAGACAGCCGCUGUUAUCUAACGCGUGAGAGAGACACCCUGUGUGUGUGUGUGUGUCUCUCUCUCACACACACACACAAACUCUCUCACACUUGUGUUAAACAUUUCUGAUGUUGUUAAAAGGAGACACCGCUCUCGUUAGUUGUGAUUUAAAGUCUGUCUCACCGUCUGUUCUCCAGCUCUGGAACGACGAUCCAAAUGGCCGAAAGGCACGAUCGAAUCUCCCUUUCACCAAACUUUAUUGACACGAAUCGCUCCUCGGCUGCCUGGCUGCUGAUAAACAAACAACUGCUUCCCCACCAGGCGCCUGCUGCGUGUCGCCUGUUGUUGGCGAGAGUCGAAGUGAAAUACCUAAAGUCUUCUCCACCACACUUCGCCUGUCGCCAAGGAAACCGCGACGCUAACGGCUCACCACCGCCCACCUGUGUGUGGACACGAUGCCUCGGAAACUGUCUCCAGCCACAAACCGGAGGAGCUGAACGGAGGAUGCGUGAGACCAUCGAGCAGCCGCGCCCUCACCCCAUCUGGGAUCACACAGCCGCAGCACAUGCCUUCUGAUUGAUUUAUUCAAGAUUAAUUGUUGCUUUGUCGGCUCAUUGCUUCCAACCGGUUCGCGUCAGAUGUCUGUGCUUUGCACUACAUUUGAACGCGGUGCAAACAAAGGGUCCUCCGCUCGUCUCGUCGCCACGAUGCAGCUACAGGUCGGCGCCAUGAAUUAGGCCACCAAUAAAGACAGACGAGUCUGGCCUCCAAGGCGAUUACAGAUCCAAAAUGAAUCUUUAAGCUUCAGCUAUUUAUGACUCUUGUUUCUUGAAAAUGAUACAAGCUCUCGCUAAUUGGAUUUG
ensembl:lncRNA